rnacentral:rRNA from 1 species
AACGUAGGGGGCGAGCGUUAUCCGGAUUUAUUGGGCGUAAAGCGCACGUAGGUGGCGCUAUAAGUUGGACGUGAAAGCUCCUGGCUCAACUGGGAGAGGUCGUUCAAAACUAUGGCGCUUGAGGUUGGAAGAGGAGAGUGGAAUUCCCGGUGUAGUGGUGGAAUGCGUAGAUAUCGGGAGGAACACCAGUGGCGAAAGCGGCUCUCUGGUCCACACCUGACGCUGAGGUGCGAAAGCGUGGGGAGCGAACGGG